rnacentral:lncRNA from 1 species
CAUGAAGAUAUUUUUCCUUCAUCAAAUUGAGAGGAAGUCCGUAGUAAAGCUGCCCAUUGACCAGGUAGUGCCGAGAGAAUGGGUGCCCUGGCAGGAGGGACUGGCUUACGCCACCCUGCGCAGGAUCAUCUUCUCAGCUUACAGAGCCUAGUGUGAUUCAACAACCCUCCAUCUCUGCCCACAACAUGCCCA